rnacentral:rRNA from 1 species
AUACGUAGGGAGCGAGCGUUGUCCGGAAUUACUGGGCGUAAAGGGCGCGUAGGCGGCGCUUCAAGUCGUCUGUCAAAUGGGAGGGCUUAACCCUUUUUCGCAGACGAAACUGGAGAGCUUGAGAAGCAGAGAGGCAAACAGAAUUCCUGGUGUAGCGGCGAAAUGCGUAGAUAUCAGGAAGAAUACCAGUGGCGAAGGCGGUUUGCUGGCUGCAUACUGACGCUGAAGCGCGAAAGCCAGGGGAGCAAACGGGAUUAGAUACCCCGGUAGUCCUGGCAGUAAACGAUGUAUGCUGGGUGUGAGACUAGCGAUAGUUUCGUGCCGAAGUUAACGCGAUAAGCAUACCGCCUGGGGAGUACGGUCGCAAGAUUGAAACUCAAAGGAAUUGACGGGG